rnacentral:lncRNA from 1 species
GUCUUGCAGACAGUAUGAUCUCUUUUUCUGUGACUGCAGGAAGAAACUGAAGGAGCAAGUCCCUUGCCAGACCAAGAGAUCAGGAUCAUUUUUUGUGAAGAAGGCCAAGAGAGAACCACUGGUCAAUAAUAAUAAUGGACCAAACAGUAGAGCAGGAGAGGACCCCUUUGGCUUUCUGAACCAGGGUGCAGAAACUGAUAUUUCUUACGCAACACUUCGCUUCCCUCCAAGUUUAUCAAAUGAUCGCACAGUUUAUUCCAGUGUCAAUAAUCCGAAUCUGGUCUUGGCUCCUUCAGAUGAAACUGCUUUAUAUAGUGCAAUAUCAAAACCCAGGUUACCUGCAAAGGUAGGUACUA